rnacentral:rRNA from 1 species
AUACGGAGGAUCCGAGCGUUAUCCGGAUUUAUUGGGUUUAAAGGGUGCGCAGGCGGCCAUUUAAGUCAGCGGUUAAAUCGUGGGGCUCAACCCCAUUCUGCCGUUGAUACUGGGUGGCUUGAUUGCGGUCGAGGUUGGCGGAAUUCGUUGUGUAGCGGUGAAAUGCAUAGAUAUGACGAAGAACACCGAUUGCGUAGGCAGCUGACCAGACCGCAAAUGACGCUCAUGCACGAAAGUGCGGGGAUCGAACAGGAUUAGAUACCCUGGUAGUCCGCACAGUAAACGAUGAAUACUUGUUUUCGGCGAUAUAAUGUCGGAGGCAAAGCGAAAGCGAUAAGUAUUCCACCUGAGGAGUACGCCGGCAACGGUGAAACUCAAAGGAAUUGACGGGG